UAAUUUAUGAAUCCAUAUUAUAUAUGGGAAUGAAAGCUUCCCUAUUACUUCACGAACGUUACAUAAAUGUAUAUGCUUGUGAAAACUAAACCUUUGUAGUCAAAAGAGUCUUUAAAAUGACAAAAUAGCUUAUUUUAAAUAAUUAGGUGUAAUAGAAAGAUUGCCAUAAGAUAUGUAAGAAAAAACUGUUGUUUUUAACAUGAAAAAUAGAAUAUGGUUUAUAUAAAAGAAAUACCCACAUCUUACCACAUCAACACCCAUGCCCUCUCUCACUUGGCAACUACCAACUGAAAUGCCAUUAAUCACCGGCAACUGCCGCCUGGAGUCUGGACCAAUCAGUGAGAUGUGUGCUUCAUUUGCAUGUUUACAUAGAUAUUAUUUUGCACCCCCCAAAUGAUCUCAGCAGUGUUAGUGUCAUGUUGAGCAGUAAACUCUGCUUUGUAGCAUGAUAUGUUAUUAUUUAAUUUAAGCUUAGUUUAUUGUGUCCAAUUAUUGUCAAUGAACUAAUACAUCUUAUCAGUCUAAUAAAAUUUUUUGUAGGUUUGCUUGAACUUUCAAGUGAUUAUAUCAAAUUGCAUUAGAGGAGUGAGCAUGACUUUUUCUCAAAUUAUUGACCACAGCCUUACAAUUAGCAGUAGCAGAGAUCAUCACUGCUGUAGAAACUACCUUUGAUCACUUAGUGUGUAUGUACAUCCCAUAGUUUUUAAUGUUGUAUUUAUUCUAUAUCAUAUUAUUGUGGCAUCAAUACAGAAGCAAAUAAUACCUAAGGAACACUGUUGAUGUUUGAUUAUGCAACUGCUUUAUGCUAAAAAAUUGAAGCAGGUUAAGAGAUGCCAGACUAAAUAAAAUAUUAAUUUGUGAGUUUUGCGGGACAAGAAAAUGAUAUUAAUGCAUUAUUUGUAAUCAAUGUGAGAGUAACCUAUAAAUUGUUUGAUCCUAAGAUGUUAUUUCUAGAAUUUAAUUGUUAUUUUUAGUUACAGAUAUGGGACACAGCUGGCCAAGAAAGAUUUCGUACCAUAACCCAGAGCUACUACAGAUCUGCAAAUGGGGUUAUAAUGGUUUACGACAUCACAAAGAGGUCAUCAUUUCUGAGUAUCCAGAGAUGGAUGGAGGAAGUUAAACGUUACACACAUCCUCAAGUUGCUUUAAUACUCAUAGGAAACAAAAGUGACAUGGAGCGACUAAGGGAGGUGGAAAAGGCUGAAGUGCAGCGCCUGGUGGAGAUGUGGGCCUUGGAUGACAAUUCGAUGGUGCACAGCCUUGAGGUUUCUGCCAAAGAGAACACAAAUAUUGAUGAAACAUUCAUGCUGCUUGCUCAAAAAUUAAAGAUUUCUCCGUGAGCUCUCGCCAGCCUCGUGCUGCCUCUCCCCUCAUGCACUCUUUGCACGACUGCUGGUCUAUGGUGCUUCUAUGAAAGCUCUUCUAACAUUUCUCCUUCUGAAAAUCUAACGAAACAUUGAAACGCUGAUGACCAAUCAGGCGAUUAAGUGACUUGCUGUCAAGAUGUUUGGGUCUCUAGAACCACACUCUGCGACUGCGCUGGCCAUGACAGCAGUCGGGAGUUGUCAGCUGCUGAUCACAUCUGCCUGACCGGCAGCAAGAGCGUCACGUCACCGUGGCA
rnacentral:misc_RNA from 1 species